GGCUGUAGCUCAGUUGGUAGAGCAUGAGACUCCUAUUAAUCUCAAGGUUGUGGUUUCAAGCCCCACGUUGGGCCA